AUUGAACGCUGGCGGCAUGCCUUACACAUGCAAGUCGAACGGCAGCACGGGGGCAACCCUGGUGGCGAGUGGCGAACGGGUGAGUAAUACAUCGGAACGUGCCCCGUAGCGGGGGACAACCAGUCGAAAGACUGGCUAAUACCGCAUACGGCUCCACGGAGGAAAGCAGGGGAUCGCAAGACCUUGCACUAUGGGAGCGGCCGAUGCCCGAUUAGCUAGUUGUGAGGUAAAGGCUNACCAAGGCAACGAUCGGUAGCUGGUCUGAGAGGACGACCAGCCACACU
rnacentral:rRNA from 1 species